GUGCCAGCCGCCGCGGUAAUACCGGCAGCCCAAGUGAUGGCCGCUGUUAUUGGGCCUAAAGCGUCCGUAGCUGGCCGCACAAGUCCGUCGGGAAAUCCACCUGCUCAACAGGUGGGCGUCCGGUGGAAACUGUGUGGCUUGGGACCGGAAGGCGCGACGGGUACGUCCGGGGUAGGAGUGAAAUCCCGUAAUCCUGGACGGACCGCCGAUGGCGAAAGCACGUCGCGAAAACGGAUCCGACAGUGAGGGACGAAAGCUAGGGUCUCGAACCGGAUUAGAAACCCUUGUAGUCC
rnacentral:rRNA from 1 species